GGUAAGACGUGGCCAGCAGCCCGGGUAAAGCGGGGGGGUGAAACGUUAAUCGGAAUUACUGGACGUAAAGCGUGGGCAGGCGGCUUAUUAAGUCAGAUGUGAAAUCCCUAGGCACAACCUAGGAACUGCAUUUGAAACUAAUAAACUAGAGUAGCGUAGAGGGAGGUAGAAUUCCAGGUGUAGCGGUGAAAUGCGUAGAUAUCUGGAGGAAUACCAGUGGCGAAGGCGACCUCCUGGACGAAAACUGACGCUCAAGCACGAAAGCAUGGGGAGCAAACAGGAUUAGAUACCCUUGUAGUC
rnacentral:rRNA from 1 species